rfam:Triticum aestivum genome assembly, contig: Triticum_aestivum_CS42_TGACv1_scaffold_093450_2AL
GUCUUACUGUGGGUUCCUUGCAAGCACUUCACGAGGCAUUAUUUCAAAAUGCACCAUUGUGAAGUGGUUGGGGGAACUCUUGGUGCCAC